rnacentral:sRNA from 1 species
CUCCAGCAGCCCCUUUCCCCUUCUUCCCCAAGAUCCAGCGCGUGCUCGGUUGCCCUUCUCCGUUCCUUGCAGGCCCUUGGGUCAGGACCCACCACCUGCCGGACCAUCAUUUUCCGAGUCCCUCCGGCCUAGUCGGAGUGCUCGCUCGCGCCUCCUAAAGCUUUCAGCCGAGCGCGCCGAGACCCCUCAGGGCGGCCGCAAUUAAUGGAUGCCUGGAAGUUGACGUACAUAUAUAUUCAGAAAUGUUUUGCCACCUGAGACCUAUGAGGAGGAAAUCAAUGAAAAUUCUCUUAAAAGGUUAAGUGUCUACCUAGAAAACCUCCAGAAACCAGGCUUCAAGUCUUUGAAACCUACUCAGCUUACAUUUUAUGUAAGAGAAACAGAGCAGAGUUCCUCCGAUGGCCAGGAACCUUUUAGUACUUCCGGAUUUCGAGCAGUCAAAUUUACUUUGCACACCAGAGAUCUGCUAAGCACAGUGUUAUAUAUUCUCAACUCCUGCAGUUUAUCUGUUGAACAUAUCCAAAGCUUGAAUACUAAUGUGCAUACCCAGCCUCUCAAAGAAGCUAAAAGGAUGCCUGACAGGCCCAUCAAAUG